UAGACAUUGCCUUAGCCCAGGAGUCAAAAC
rnacentral:piRNA from 1 species